rnacentral:tRNA from 1 species
GCACUGAUGGCUCAAUGGUAGAAUUCUUACCUUCCAUGCAAGAGACCCGGGUUUGAUUUCUGGCCAAUGCA